rnacentral:lncRNA from 1 species
GAGUGAGUACAAUUUUAAGAUUUCUCAACCAGUCCACAUAGUUUGGACCGGUCAACUUGUUGGCAUCCAAGAUGCCUCUUAGUGAUAGUGAAGAUGUCAUUUAAUUCAGAAUUAAUUCUACAUAAGCAAAGAACAAAACUAAUAUAAGCAAACCAAUAAUGAUGACAUAUAUACAAUUGGACAAGAAUUUUAUCUAAUUGUUACUCCCACUAUUUUUAUCAAAUAUCAUAGCCCUCUCCUAUGAUAAACAAGAAAACCUAAUUUUUCUUAGUAGGGUUGAAAUCCUAAUUCUUCAUAAAGGCCUUGUGUUUACACAACAAAUCUUUAUGAGUACAUAGGUAGAAAACUCUUUUCAAUUGCAUCUCAUGCAAUUCUCAACUUUAUCUUGUCCUCUAAAACAGNNNNNNNNNNNNNNNNNNNNGUUUACACAACAAAUCUUUAUGAGUACAUAGGUAGAAAACUCUUUUCAAUUGCAUCUCAUGCAAUUCUCAACUUUAUCUUGUCCUCUAAAACAGUUAUAGCCUUGCGGUUGCACAACAAACUAUAAUAUUUUAGUUACGUCAAACCCUUCAUUUCCAUACAGUCAUAUUCCAAUAAUAUUGACCUUGUGGUUGCACAACAAAGCAACAUAUUAGAAAAUGCCGUAAGCAUCUUUAUGCACCAAGACAGUAUAACAUCAGUCUCCAUUGCAAGUCUUGUGGUUGCACAACAAACCAGCAUGGAUCUUGACAUAAUAAUGUCGAUGCAUGAAAGAAGGCUAAGAGUAGUGUUUUAUCAACAUUAAGCUUAUCCAUAAUAGACAAUCAAACAAUUGGCCAAGUAAGCAGGUAGGAGGCUCCCCUUACUCAGAGAGUAAGAUCCUAAUUAAGUAACCACCUUU